AGAGUUUGAUCCUGGCUCAGUGCGGCUGGCAUCACCUCCUUASAGUUUGAUCCUGGCUCAGGACGAACGCUGGCGGCGUGCCUAAUACAUGCAAGUCGAGCGGAUUGUUCCUUCSGGAACAGUUAGCGGCGGACGGGUGAGUAACACGUASGCAACCUGCCCGCAGGAUCGGGAUAACUACCGGAAACGGUAGCUAAGACCGGAUACAAGACUUUGACGCAUGUCGGAGUUUGGAAACACGGASCAAUCUGUGACCUGUARAUGGGCCUGCSGCGCAUUAGCUAGUUGGUGAGGUAAUGGCUCACCAAGGCGACGAUGCRUAGCCGACCUGAGAGGGUGAACGGCCACACUGGGACUGASACACGGCCCAGACUCCUACGGGAGGCAGCAGUAGGGAAUCUUCCGCAAUGGACGCAAGUCUGACSGAGCAACGCCCCGUGAGUGAUGAAGGUUUUCGGAUCGUAAAGCUCUGUUGCCAGGGAAGAAAGGCCAGGAGAGUAACUGCUCCUGGAUUGACGGUACCUGASAAGAAAGCCCCGGCUAACUACGUGCCAGCAGCCGCGGUAAUACGUACGGGGCAAGCGUUGUCCGGAAUUAUUGGGCGUAAAGCGCGCGCAGGCGGCUGUUUAAGUCUGGYGUUUAAUCCUGGGGCUCAACCCCGGGUCGCACUGGAAACUGGACGGCUUGAGUGCAGAAGAGGAGAGUGGAAUUCCACSUGUAGCGGUGAAAUGCGUA
rnacentral:ncRNA from 2 species